GUUUGAUCCUGGCUCAGGAUGAACGCUAGCGGCAGGCUUAACACAUGCAAGUCGAGGGGCAGCGCGGGUAGCAAUACCUGGCGGCGACCGGCAAACGGGUGCGGAACACGUACAGAACCUACCUUUAUCUGGGGCAUAGCCCGAAGAAAUUCGGAUUAACUCCCCAUAAUAUAGAUGAGUGGCAUCACUUGACUAUUAAAAAUUUAUUGGAUCGAGAUGGCUGUGCGUCCCAUUAGCUAGUUGGUAGGGUAACGGCCUACCAAGGCGACGAUGGGUAGCUGGUGUGAGAGCACGACCAGCCACACGGGCACUGAGACACGGGCCCGACUCCUACGGGAGGCAGCAGUAAGGAAUAUUGGUCAAUGGACGCAAGUCUGAACCAGCCAUGCCGCGUGAAGGAUGAAGGCCUUCUGGGUUGUAAACUUCUUUUACCUGGGAAGAAACCACCUUUUUCUAAGGGUGUUGACGGUACCAGAGGAAUAAGCACCGGCUAACUCCGUGCCAGCAGCCGCGGUAAUACGGAGGGUGCAAGCGUUAUCCGGAUUUACUGGGUUUAAAGGGUGUGUAGGCGGGCUAUUAAGUCAGUGGUGAAAUCUCCGGGCUCAACCUGGAAACUGCCAUUGAUACUAUUAGUCUUGAAUUUUGUUGAGGUAGGCGGAAUAAGUCAUGUAGCGGUGAAAUGCAUAGAUAUGACUUAGAACACCAAUUGCGAAGGCAGCUUGCUAAACAAAUAUUGACGCUGAGGCACGAAAGCGUGGGGAUCAAACAGGAUUAGAUACCCUGGUAGUCCACGCCCUAAACGAUGAUUACUCGACAUACGCGAUACACAGUGUGUGUCUGAGCGAAAGCAUUAAGUAUCCCACCUGGGAAGUACGACCGCAAGGUUGAAACUCAAAGGAAUUGACGGGGGUCCGCACAAGCG
rnacentral:rRNA from 1 species